AGCGAACGCUGGCGGCAUGCCUAACACAUGCAAGUCGCACGGGGGGGCUUCGGCCUCCCAGUAGCGGACGGGUGAGGAACGCGUAGGGACCUGUCGAGGGGUGGGGGAUAACCGCGGGAAACUGCGGCUAAUACCGCAUGACGCCGCGGCGUGACAGCCGGGGCCAAAGGCGAAAGCCGCCCGCCGAGGGGCCUGCGUCCGAUUAGCUGGUUGGCGGGGUAGCGGCCCACCAAGGCGUCGACCGGUAGCUGGUCGGAGAGGGUGAUCAGCCACACCGGGACUGGGACACGGCCGGGACUCCUACGGGAGGCGGGAGUGGGGAAUAUUGGACAAUGGGCGCAAGCCUGAUCCAGCAAUGCCGCGUGGGUGAAGAAGGUCGUCGGAUUGUAAAGCCCUUUCGGCGGGGACGAUGGUGACGGUACCCGCAGAAGAAGCCCCGGCUAACUUCGUG
rnacentral:rRNA from 1 species